GACGAACGCUGGCGGCGUGCCUAACACAUGCAAGUCGAACGAGGUCCAAGGGAGCUUGCUCCCUGACGACCUAGUGGCGAACGGGUGAGUAACACGUGAGAAACCUGCCUCGGAGUGGGGAAUAACUCGGGGAAACUCGAGCUAAUACCGAAUACCUUCACAUGAUCGCAUGGUCGAGUGAAGAAAGAAUUUCGCUCUGAGAGGGUCGCGCGGCCUAUCAGCUUGUUGGUGGGGGAACGGCCUACCAAGGCAACGACGGGUAGCUGGUUUGAUAUAACGAUCAGCCCCACUGGGACUGGGACACGGCCCAGACGCCUACGGAGGGCAGCAGGGGGGAAUCUUGCGCAAUGGGCGAAAGCCUGACGCAGCAACGCCGCGUGCGGGAUGACGGCCUUCGUGGUUGUAAACCGCUUUCAGCAGGGACGAAAAUGACGGUACCUGCAGAAGAAGCCCCGGCUAACUACGUGCCAGCAGCCGCAGUAACAC
rnacentral:rRNA from 1 species